rnacentral:rRNA from 1 species
GCUUACAGCCAUACCAGCCUGGGUACGCCCGAUCUCGUCUGAUCUCGGAAGCUAAGCAGGGUCUUACCUGGUUAGUACUUGGAUGGGAGACCGCCUGGGAAUACCAGGUGCUGUAAGCA